CACCAGGUUGAUUCUGCCUGACGUGGAUGCUAAUCUCAUAGGUUUAGCCAUGCAAGUGUAAGCGAAACGUAAGUGAAGCGGCGAAAGGCUCAGUAACGGGCGAUUAAUUUAAUCCUCAGAAGUGGACAACCUCGGGAAACUGAGGGGAAAACACAUAAGAUGCUAUGUAUUAUUAUAGUGAAUGAAACGGAUAGUGCUGAGGAGUAAGAGGCCAACCCAUCAGUUAGUAAGUAAGGUAAGGGCUUAUUUAGACGACAACGGAGACGGGGAAUUAGGGUUUGAUUCCGGAGAGGGAGCCUGAGAGAAGGCUACCAGGUCCAAGGACAGCAGCAGGCGCGAAAAUUACCGAAGCCCGCAUUGGGGCGGUAGUAAGGAGACGUAAUUAAAUGAAGUACGGGUAAAAAACGUACUACGAACUGGAGGGUAAGGCUGGUGCCAGCAACCGCGGUAAUUCCAGCUCCAGGAGUGUCUAUGAAUAUUGCUGCGAUUAAAAGGUCCGUAGUCGAGUUGUUUAGCUAGUCUGUAAUGUUACUGAUUGAGAGUAAAUAAGGACUAGAAAAGCAAAUAAAUAGGAGCGACCGAGGGUCAGAUUAUUGAGAAGGGAGAGGUGAAAUUUGAAGAUCUUUUCAGGAGUAACAGAGGCGAAAGCGCUGACCAAGGGCGAAUCCGUUGAUCAAGGACGUAGGCUGGAGGAUCGAAGACGAUUAGAGACCGUAGUAGUUCCAGCAGUAAACGAUGCCGACACCGCGAUAUGAAUAGUGUUGCGGAAGAGAAAUCUAGUAAGGCUUUGGGGAGAGUACGCGCGCAAGCGAUAAAUUUAAAGGAAAUUGACGGAAGAACACCACAAGGAGUGGAGUGUGCGGCUUAAUUUGACUCAACGCAGGACAGCUUACCAGGCCCAAUGACUAAGCGAGCGUAUUACGCGAUAAGUCAGAGAGUGGUGCAUGGCCGUUAUCGACAAGUGGAGUGAUUUUUUGAUUAAAUUCUUGAAUUAGUGAGACGCUUACCAGAAAUGGGACAAGUAUGAAAAAUACGGGAAGAAAAGCGCAAGAACAGGUCAGUGAUGCCCUUAGAUGGCCUGGGCUGCACGCGCACUACAGUGGUCAAGAUAGAAAGAAAAUAGAAGAAAAGGUGAUCGAGAGGGAACGAGCUCUGUAAGGGGCUCGGGAACGAGGAAUUGCUAGUAAUCGUGAUCUCAGUAAGAUACGAUGAAUGAGUCCCUGCUCUUUGUACACACCGCCCGUCGUUAUCGAAUAUGGAAUCAGGUGCGAACGAGCCUAUAAAGCAAGUGAGUGCAGGGUUCUAGAUGUGAUACAAGUCGUAACAAGGCAGCUGUAGGAGAACCAUUAGCAGGAUCAUAA
rnacentral:rRNA from 1 species